rnacentral:rRNA from 1 species
UACGGGGGGGGGCAAGCGUUGUUCGGAAUUACUGGGCGUAAAGGGCUCGUAGGCGGCCAACUAAGUCAGACGUGAAAUCCCUCGGCUUAACCGGGGAACUGCGUCUGAUACUGGAUGGCUUGAGUUUGGGAGAGGGAUGCGGAAUUCCAGGUGUAGCGGUGAAAUGCGUAGAUAUCUGGAGGAACACCGGUGGCGAAGGCGGCAUCCUGGGACCAACACUGACGCUGAGUGAGCGAAAGCCAGGGGAGCAAAACGGGG